AUUGAACGCUGGCGGCAGGCCUAACACAUGCAAGUCGAACGGUAGCACAGAGAGCUUGCUCUCGGGUGACGAGUGGCGGACGGGUGAGUAACGUCUGGGAAACUGCCCGAUGGAGGGGGAUAACUACUGGAAACGGUAGCUAAUACCGCAUAACGUCGCAAGACCAAAGUGGGGGACCUUCGGGCCUCACACCAUCGGAUGUGCCCAGAUGGGAUUAGCUAGUAGGUGGGGUAAUGGCUCACCUAGGCGACGAUCCCUAGCUGGUCUGAGAGGAUAACCAGCCACACAGGAACUGAGACACGGUCCAGAUUCCUACGGGAGGAAGGAGUGGGGAAUAUUGCACAAUGGGCGCAAGCCUGAUGCAGCCAUGCCGCGUGUAUGAAGAAGGCCUUCGGGUUGUAAAGUACUUUCAGCGGGGAGGAAGGCGGUGAAGUUAAUAGCUUCACCGAUUGACGUUACCCGCAGAAGAAGCACCGGCUAACUCCGUGCCAGCCGCCGCAGUAA
rnacentral:rRNA from 1 species